UAAAAUGAAACUAUAUUUCUUUUAGUUUCACAGCAUUCAGUUCAUAGAUCCCGACGAUGUUAUGCCACAUACGAACACAGGAACACAAGAGCAGAAAGAAAUAUGGAGUUUCAUAGAAAGCUUAAGUCAUUUGGACCGGUGCCUUGCUGAAUGAAGGACUCCGAGUCUUUUAUAAUUUAUGACAAUGAUCGAAGUUUUUACAUCACUCUGAUGACGUCUCUGAAAUAUCUGUUCUCUAAACAAUUCAGUUUUCCUGCACCAUCUAAUGAACACUCAUGUAUGUUUGCCCUAAGAUUUAUUCAUCUGUUACUUCAGAAAUUAAGCUGGAGUCUAUAUUUCAAUUAAAGGAUCACAAUGAGAGAUAAAUAUGUCCUGGGUUAUUUGACGUAUUUGCCUGAGAAAAAUAAUGAAGCUGACUUUUGUAAUUGACAAAUUCUAGUUGGUUUUUCCUUAACACAAUUAUCAAUUAUUUGUAAAUAACUAUGUUUAAUACUAUCCACAUUAAAUGUAUCAAUAACAUUAACUCACCUAUCAGUCCAGUUAUAUGAUUCAGAGA